CGGGGUGCACCAGGCGCGAAAACUUUACACUGCGGGAAACCGCGAUAAGGGGACCCCGAGUGCCAGCACCUAGUGCUGGCUGUCCAGCUGUCCAAAUAACAGUUGUUAGCAAGGGCCGGGCAAGACCGGUGCCAGCCGCCGCGGUAACACCGGCGGCCCGAGUGGUAGCCGUUAUUAUUGGGUUUAAAGGGUCCGUAGCCGGCCUAUUAAGUCUCUUGGGAAAUCUGGCGACUUAAUCGUCAGGCGUCCAAGAGAUACUGGUAGGCUUGGGACCGGGAGAGGUGGGAGGUACUCCAGGGGUAGGGGUGAAAUCUCGUAAUCCUUGGGGGACCACCGAUGGCGAAGGCAUCCCACCAGAACGGGUCCGACGGUGAGGGACGAAAGCUGGGGGCACGAACCGGAUUAGAUACCCGGGUAGUCCCAGCUGUAAACGAUGCUCGCUAGGUGUCAGGUGCGGUGCGACCGCAUCUGGUGCCGCAGUGAAAACUUGAAGCGAGUCACCUGGGAAGUACGGUCGCAAGGCUGAAACUUAAAGGAAUUGGCGGGGGAGCACAAGGGCGAAUUCGCG
rnacentral:rRNA from 1 species